CGCUAAAUUUUGCAAUAAAUCAGGAUUCAUAACCCUGAGGUCACGGGUUCAAACCCCGUCUUCGCUA
rnacentral:tRNA from 1 species